UUGGAGGGCAAGUCUGGUGCCAGCAGCCGCGGUAAUUCCAGCUCCAAUAGCGUAUAUUAAAGUUGUUGCAGUUAAAAAGCUCGUAGUUGAAUUUCGGGAUCAAAUUGUCGGUCGUGCCUCGGUACGCACUGGUAUUAUUGGUUCCUACCUUCUGAAGAAUCGCGAUGUCAUUAAUUUGGUGUCGUGGGGAAUCAGGACUGUUACUUUGAAAAAAUUAGAGUGUUUAAAGCAGGCUUACGCUUGAAUACAUUAGCAUGGAAUAAUGAAAUAGGACGUUUGAUUCUAUUUUGUUGGUUUCUAGGACUGACGUAAUGAUUAAUAGGGAUAGUUGGGGGCAUUAGUAUUCAAUUGUCAGAGGUGAAAUUCUUGGAUUUAUUGGAGACUAACUACUGCGAAAGCAUUUGCCAAGGAUGUUUUCAUUAAUCAAGAACGAAAGUUAGGGGAUCGAAGACGAUCAGAUACCGUCGUAGUCUUAACCAUAAACUAUGCCGACUAGGGAUCGGAUGAUGUUAAUUUUUUAAUGACUCAUUCGGCGCCUUACGGGAAACCAAAGUGUUUGGGUUC
rnacentral:rRNA from 1 species